rnacentral:tRNA from 1 species
AGUUAAAUAGCUUAUUUAUAAAGCACAUAUUUUGAAAAUAUGAGAUAAAGGAAUAAUACCCUUUUUAACUU